CUCUUGUAUGAAAGGACAGAAGGUUAGCAUUCCCCUUGAUAAGGAGUGAAGAGGUCCUAGUGACCUUUACAACACAUAUGGUUAAGGCAUUGCCAGGGGUGGCUCUAGGCACCAGCAAAACAAGCUGGUGC